UACAGAGGGGGCAAGCGUUGUUCGGAAUUACUGGGCGUAAAGGGCGCGUAGGCGGCCUGCUAAGUCGAACGUGAAAUCCCUGGGCUCAACCCAGGAACUGCGUCCGAUACUGGUUGGCUUGAAUCCGGGAGAGGGACGUGGAAUUCCAGGUGUAGCGGUGAAAUGCGUAGAUAUCAGGAGGAACACCGGUGGUGUAGACGGCUCACUGGACCGUAACUGACGCUGAGACACGAAAGCGUGGGUAGCAAACAGG
rnacentral:rRNA from 1 species